rnacentral:tRNA from 1 species
GCUCCCGUAGCUCAGCCGGAUAGAGCGCUUGGCUAAUCCUGAGAGGUCGCGGAGUUCGAAUCCCGUCGGGAGCC